rnacentral:snRNA from 1 species
AUACUUGCUUGGAAGGGAAGAUAGCAUCCGUAGUCAAGAUGCUGGUUUUCCCAGGGUGAGGUUUAUUUCAGAUAUCCUGGCUUCCUCAAAUGUGGGGAAAUGCAUACUUUGUAGUAGUGGACAAUUGUGUUCAAGCUUUCCCCUA